rnacentral:rRNA from 1 species
GACGAACGCUGGCGGCGUGCCUAACACAUGCAAGUCGAACGGGACCAGGGGGCAACUCUGGUUCAGUGGCGGACGGGUGCGUAACACGUGAGGAACAUGACCUUCGGCGGGGGAGUAGCCGGCCCAACGGCCGGGUAAGUACCGCGUACGACCAUUUGGGGUACGAUCCUCGAGUGGUGAAAGCAGCAAUGCGCCGAUGGAGUGCCUCGCGGCCUAUCAGCUAGUUGGUGAGGUAACGGCUCACCAAGGCAACGACGGGUAGCUGGUCUGAGAGGAUGGCCAGCCACAUUGGGACUGAGACACGGCCCACGACUCCUACGGGAGGCAGCAGUGGGGAAUAUUGCGCAAUGGACGAAAGUCUGACGCAGCGACGCCGCGUGUGGGAUGACGGUCUUCGGAUUGUAAACCACUGUCGGGAGGGACGAAUACGCCGCAAGGCGGGUGACGGUACCUCCAAAGGAAGCACCGGCUAACUCCGUGCCAGCCGCCGCGGUAAC